GCUGAGUGCGUGGGAGGAGUUGGUGUGAUACGGGGGGGGGGUGCGUUGGUCGGAAGCACGUGGCGUGAAGGGCGUGUAGGCGGCCGUGGAAGUCUGGUGGGAAAGCCCGGGGCUUACCCCCGGAAGGGUACUGGACACUGCGAGGCUUGAGUACCGGAGAGGAGGGUGGAAUUCCUGGUGUAGCGGUGAAAUGCGUAGAUAUCAGGAGGAACACCGGUGGCGAAGGCGGCCCUCUGGACGGAUACUGACGCUGAGACGCGAAAGCGUGGGGAGCAAACAGGAUUAGAUACCCGGGUAGUC
rnacentral:rRNA from 1 species